UACGGAGGAUCCGAGCGUUAUCCGGAUUUAUUGGGUUUAAAGGGUGCGUAGGCGGCCUGUUAAGUCAGGGGUGAAAGACGGUAGCUUAACUAUCGCAGUGCCCUUGAUACUGAUGGGCUUGAAUAUACUUGAGGUAGGCGGAAUGUGACAAGUAGCGGUGAAAUGCAUAGAUAUGUCACAGAACACCAAUUGCGAAGGCAGCUUACUAAGGUAUGAUUGACGCUGAGGCACGAAAGCGUGGGGAUCAAACAGG
rnacentral:rRNA from 1 species